rnacentral:rRNA from 1 species
CGCGUAGGCGGUCUGCUAAGUUGGAUGUGAAAACUCUGGGCUUAACCCAGAGCCUGCAUUCAAAACUGACAGGCUAGAGUUCUGGAGGGGAUAGCGGAAUUCCUGGUGUAGCGGUGAAAUGCGUAGAUAUCAGGAGGAACACCGGUGGCGAAGGCGGCUAUCUGGACAGAGUCUGACGCUGAGGCGCGAAAGCUAGGGAGCAAACA